rnacentral:rRNA from 1 species
UAAGGAAUAUUGGUCAAUGGGCGCAAGCCUGAACCAGCCAUGCCGCGUGCAGGAAGACGGCCCUAUGGGUUGUAAACUGCUUUUGUCAGGGAAUAAACCUGUCUACGUGUAGACAGCUGAAGGUACCUGAAGAAUAAGCAUCGGCUAACUCCGUGCCAGCAGCCGCGGUAAUACGGAGGAUGCAAGCGUUAUCCGGAUUCAUUGGGUUUAAAGGGUGCGCAGGCGGAUUGCUAAGUCAGGGGUGAAAUCC